rnacentral:rRNA from 1 species
UACGUAGGGUGCAAGCGUUGUCCGGAAUUAUUGGGCGUAAAGAGCUCGUAGGCGGUCUGUCGCGUCGGCUGUGAAAACUCGGGGCUCAACCCCGAGCCUGCAGUCGAUACGGGCAGACUAGAGUGCUGUAGGGGAGACUGGAAUUCCUGGUGUAGCGGUGAAAUGCGCAGAUAUCAGGAGGAACACCAAUAGCGAAGGCAGCUCGCUGGGACGGUACUGACGCUAAGGCGCGAAAGCGUGGGGAGCGAACAGG